CAUAUACUAAUGCCAGAAUAUGAAUGAACAAAAGACACAUUUUUUUCAUCAUCCAUUGUUGUUUUUAUUAUCAUCACCAAUGUAUCUCUUUUCGAUAGCAUCGCGUGUCUUUUCUUGACAUCCUCUUUUUAUUUAGCAUUGUCACAAACUCAGUUUUUUUCUCAGUAACAAUGUUACUACCUCUCUGCUGAAAAAUCAUUCUCAAAACAACUCUCUCUAUUUCGUGCUGCGACAAAGGUUAAUGGAGAAGACACGACUAGAUGAAUUAUUUCCUCUGACUCCAAGUUCAAUAUUCUCGACCAAGAAGGGACGCAGUGGAUACGAACCAUCAGACACAGAGACGGAGUGGCAAGACACUCCACGUCACGAACGAGGUAGAAAGAACAUGACCUUAGUCUCGUCGUCACCUUCGAUAGCAGGUUCGGUUCUUAACCAACCAAGAAGACGAUAUCUCAGCAAAUCACCCUAUAAGCUACGCAUAGCACGCGAGGAGGGUAAUGAUGAUGAAGACGCUUCGUUAUCAUACAUGUCUGGUUUGAACUCAAGUAGAAAUAUUAGUCCUUUGCCAAGACCCGACUUUGGAAGAACUGUGUCUCCUUAUAGCAGAAAUCAUCUGCAAAAAACACCUUCUAAUGAAAACAGAAAAGCGAAUUCAGGACUUCUGGAAGUGGAUAGAGCGAGUACGAAACCAAACUACAGGAGAGCAGUAACUGCUCCAAGAUUGAGAGACCAACAGCAAACACUGCAAAACACAGCGAGAAUUCUGAAACAAAGGGAAAAAUCUCCCUUCAAAACAGGUUCAAUUAGAGAAAGAGAAGUCAAUGAAACGAAAGCACAAGUGAAGCUAUCGAAAAAUAAUCCUACGGAUGAUUAUUCAUCAGCACUGGAAAGUACAGACUCAAUUCAACCUGGUGACCUUUUCUUUUCCCGCGAAUGCAAUGCCUUGCAAGCGAAGAAUCCUUCAUUGCCUAAAAAAGUUGAACAAUACGGUUAUUUUAGUCCAAGACCGGUGAUCACCACCAUUAACAACGCACCUGAAAGUGGUAAAUUCAAUACGAAUAUGAAUAAGCCGAGAACCUCUUCCAGUAAUACGUUGCUGUCUCGAACAACGAUGGGACCAUCAAUCAGAAAGGGAAGUGGAAGUGGAAACUCGAGCACUAAAUCUAGCGUAAAAAGUGACGCUAGCACAAAGACAACCGAAAGCAUGAGGAAAUUCACAUCCAACAGAAAAAAGAACCAGAAAGAUGCAUGGUUUUCCUGCAUGAUGAGAACAGGGAACUGUAGAACUUCAAGAAAAUCACCUGAACGUAGACCAAUCGACGAAGCUUCCUUGAUCGAGAGGACAACAAUUGUGGAAAGCAUUCCACAACUUUGGGCCGAUAAACAUCAACCAGCUUCACUCAAUGGCUUCAUUUGCAACAAACAAGAAGCUCAACUUCUCAAGGAACUAGUAGUGUCACGGAGCUCUUGUCCUCACAUUUUGCUCAAAGGACCCUCUGGCUCCGGGAAAAGAGAUCUAGCAAUGGCUUUUCUUAGAGAAGCAUACGGCGAUUCAUGUUGUAAACUGUCACAUGAUCUAAGACAUUUCCCUAUUCAGGACAAAAGGACUGUGAAAGUAUCGGUUCCAAUCACGUCAAGUCCUCAUCACAUGGAGCUCAAUGCAAAUUCAGAACCAAAUGCUAAAUAUGCUUUGAUGGGACUAAUCAAAGAAAUCAGCAAUAUAUAUGCAAUUGCCCCUGAAGUAAGCAAUGUGAAUUUCAAGUCAGAUUAUAAAGUAAUAAUUCUUUACGAGGUCGACAAAGCGGUAGAGAACAUUCAACACUUGAUCAAAUGGAUCAUAGACCGUUAUUCAGAUAUAUGCAAAUUAGUUCUAUGCUGUGAAGAUGAUGAAAAUAUUAUUGCACCCGUGAAAAACCGGUUCAAAGUUAUCAAUGUUGAUGCACCUCAAACUCAUGAAAUUAUUGAGGCUCUUACGCAGAUAGCGAAUAAAGAGGAAAUUGAUCUAUCCAUGAGUUUUGCCAUGAAGAUUGCUACAAAAUCUAAGCAGAACCUCAGGGAAGCAAUACUGGCCCUUGAAGCCUGCAAAGCACAUAACUAUCCAUUUUCAGAAGAGCAACCAAUUCCAGUUGGAUGGGAGAAGAUUGUAAUAGAACUUGCUGUAGAGAUCCUAACUGAUCCAUCAUUUUCGCGGCAAGAAACUUCUCUUCCUAUCUUAUUUUCUAUAAAGAGAUAUUACUGGUGUUCUUUUAGAACUGGCUUUUUUUCAAAACUUGUAUAAUAAGUAACAUCAUUUUGUAGCUUGGAAAUUGUCAAUUGCCAAUAUGAUUGUGUUUUCAUUUUAAAUAUUCUUAUGGUUUUAUCAGCUUGCUCUCAAUAAGAGGGAAAUUUCAAAUGCUUCUCCUGGAUUUUGUCCACCCGAAAUUGAUUCUCCUGAAACUUGUGGAAGAGCUCUUAAGAAGAGUUGAGACCGGCUUAAAACGGGAGCUCUACUACUGGCAUGCUUAUUAUGAUAGAAGACUUCCACCAGGAACAACAGCUUUACUAAAAUUAGAAGAAUUUGUGGCCAAGUUCAUGAGCAUGUGCAGAAAAAGCUCAGGCAGUAGACAAUAUGUGUAGAAUAACAUGGAUGUUAUGUCUCUAUAAAAUGUUGAUAUCAUGGGAGCAAUACUAAUUGAUGAUUCUGUGGAAGAACAUGAUUUCGUAUCCUCCUAUCUAAAGGAAGAAUAAUUUAAUAGAAAUUAUCAGAAAGAGAAGUACUGAAAUCAGUUUCUUCUUCUUCUUAUAAGAUACUUGUGUAGGUAAUAAUAUAUGUAAGUUGCACCAAGCGUCUUUGUGUGUAAAAUGGAUCAUAGAAUAUGUAAUAUGUUGAAUGGAAGCAUCAAUAUUGUCUUAUUGUAGAUUGUGCCCUUUCACAAGGAGUCUGAUUUUAACCCUAAAACGCUCUCUUCUCUUUCCUCUUAAGAAAAUUUUCCAUCGCCCUUACACUCUUCCUCUCUCAAAAAUUCAAAGUUUCUGCUUCAUCAUGUGGCUAAAUUGCUUGGUGGUGUGAUGUCUCUUCUCCGCACCACCAUUUUAACCUUGGGGCUGUUCUGUCGACGUGGUUUCUCGGGCCUUUUCUCCGGCAUUUUCCGGUGACAGUUGAUUUGAAUUUAUUGGCGAUUGGUCUCUUAAAUUGCAGUCUGACAUCUUCUUCUCCGGGUUGCAUCAGGGGUCUUUAGAAACUCCCCUAUGUUCUGACGGAUUGGUCCUCUGUUUCCGGCAGUUGGGUUCCGGCAGUUUGGUUUUGGUGCCUCUAUAUAUCUCUCUUAACCACCAUUCUCU